rnacentral:rRNA from 1 species
CAAAUCAGGUAGGACUACCCGCUGAACUUAAGCAUAUCAAUAAGCGGAGGAAAAGAAACUAACAAGGAUUCCCCUAGUAACUGCGAGUGAAGCGGGAAAAGCUCAAAUUUAAAAUCUGGCGGUCUUUGGCUGUCCGAGUUGUAAUCUAGAGAAGUGUUAUCCGCGCUGGACCGUGUACAAGUCUCCUGGAAUGGAGCGUCAUAGAGGGUGAGAAUCCCGUCUUUGACACGGACUGCCAGGGCUUUGUGAUGCGCUCUCAAAGAGUCGAGUUGUUUGGGAAUGCAGCUCAAAAUGGGUGGUAAAUUCCAUCUAAAGCUAAAUAUUGGCGAGAGACCGAUAGCGAACAAGUACCGUGAGGGAAAGAUGAAAAGAACUUUGGAAAGAGAGUUAAACAGUACGUGAAAUUGCUGAAAGGGAAACGCUUGAAGUCAGUCGCAUUGUGUGGGAAUCAACCUUGCUUUUGUUGGGUGUAUUUUCCAUAUGAUGGGUCAGCAUCAAUUUUGACCGUUGGAUAAAGUUCAAGGGAAUGUGGCAUCCUCGGAUGUGUUAUAGCCCUUGGUCGUAUACAACGAUUGGGAUUGAGGAACUCAGCACGCCGAAAGGCCGGGUCUUGUACCACGUUCGUGCUUAGGAUGCUGGCAUAAUGGCUUUAAUCGACCCGUCUUGAAACACGGACCAAGGAGUCUAACAUGCCUGCGAGUAUUUGGGUGAAAAACCCGAGUGCGUAAUGAAAGUGAAAGUUGAGAUCCCUGUCAUGGGGAGCAUCGACGCCCGGACCAGACCUUUUGUGACGGAUCUGCGGUAGAGCAUGUAUGUUGGGACCCGAAAGAUGGUGAACUAUGCCUGAAUAGGGUGAAGCCAGAGGAAACUCUGGUGGAGGCUCGUAGCGAUUCUGACGUGCAAAUCGAUCGUCAAAUUUGGGUAUAGGGUCGAAAGACUAAUCGAACCAUCUAGUAGCUGGU